AUGGGACGCGGACGAGGCCGCAGGGGCGAUGGCGGCCGGCCGGGCGGGGCCUGCUGGUGGCUGCUGCGGAGGGGGCGUGGUCAGCGUGGCGAAUGGCGGACAACGCCGGUGGGGGAGGAAGGGGAGGAAAGAGAGGAAGGGGAGGAGGGGAAGUCGGGCGUCAGCGGAGCGCUGAGGGGAGACAACCAUUUUGCUAAGCACGGCGGGCGUGUUAAGUUGGUGCAGGAAUGUCGCCUCCCUCCAGGCCCCUCUCACUGCUUUCGGUCCAGCGGGGCGCCGCGGCGGGAGGCCCAAGGCCAAACGUGGCUACGGGGCAAGGAAGUAACGGCCCUGGAGCCUCCCUGGGCGCCGCCUCCGUGGUUUAUCUCGGGGCAGGCCCUCGGGGAGUCGUGCUUCUCCCCGGCCCAGGGCGGGAGCAGGCAGGCGAGGGCACCUGAAACUCCCAUUGCCGCCUGGAUCAAGGACAAACAGUUCGACAACUGUCACAACACCAUACUGCAACUUUUAAAAAGUUCUAAAAACAUGUACCACCGCAGCUGGCUGGCUGGCAUUGCACCUGCAUCUCUGCUGCUGCUCACGGAGUUCUGUGGGGCUGAGGGUUUGAUCUCGCUCUUCUACCUAGUUUUUUAUGAGUUCCUGGCUGCACUUUUCUCAUUCACAAUGUGGGCUAUGCUUCAGAAUCUGAACAAUGAGGUUCCAAAAUAUUGUGACCAGAUUCCUAGUCCAGGACAUAUGUUUUUUCAAAAACUAGUGACUGCAUUGGAAUAUUCAUUCGGUAGGUCUGAUCCAAGGUCCUAAGGGUAGCUUGAAGACUUAAGAAGUUUCUAAAGCCUUAAUAUUUAGAAGAACAGAAGAAUUUCGUAGUCUGUUCUGAUGGAGCACUUUUUGAACAGAAGGGUCCAAUUUAUGCUGCAUGUCAGUUUCCUGUUGUCUUGCUUCAAGCAUGCAGUGGUGUGGAUGAUCCUGAGUUUUGCUAGUCCAGAGGAAACUCUUGUAUUCUUGUGAAAAUGAACAGAAUAAUUGGAUUAAAGACUCAAGGAGAACCAAGGAUAGAAUGUAUUUCAAAGGAUGAAAACACAGCAACUCUAUCAACUUAUCCUCCCAAUGGAAUUAUAGACUUAAAAUAUUUUCCAUAUUAUGGGAAAAAACUGCAUGUGAGUUAUCUACAGCCAUUAGUUGCUAUCCAGGUCCCCUUUGAUGCUAGUAGUACCAUAAAAGAAGUAACAGUAGAGUGCAAGAUUGAUGGAUCACCCACCCUAAAAACCAGGAUGAUCGUGGCAAGUUUUUAAGGACGAGUUGUGUUCAAAAUCAGAGUGCUUGCAUAGUAUGAGUUAGGAUAUCUCCACAGAGUAGAUAUUGUGUUGUCUGUCUUCAUUUUUUUAUCAGCUGGACCUGCCAUUCUGGAAUUAUGAGACCACCUUGGAGAAAGGUGGGUGGUACAUGGCACUAGGGUGACAUCAUAAUGUGCUUCCAGGUCAUAGUGUUCAAUACCUUCUGAAGUAACUGCCUGUUGCCUCUGCUGCCUUUUGAACCUGGGUACAGUCGCCAGAUAGGGACUAUGAACACCUGAU